UUUUUAAAUUAGACCAAUGCCCUCUUGAUCAAUUGAAAUUUCAUAAAAUUUAUUACAAUGAAUAACUACUGAGGGAACAUAGGACUUCUUACAUAUCUUUUCUAAAUAUAAAAUGUAUAUCUUCAUCAAAGUCUUCUAUGUUAUAAUUCAGCUUCAUGUGCAUGCAGUUCCUAAUGUUAGCAGUAAUCAGAGCACUCCUGCACAACAACCGCGACGACAAUCUUCCUUCUCUUUAUCAUCGCUCACCAUCUGUGUCCUGUCAUUGAUGGCACCUUAGCCACACUACACCGGCUCUGGCACCAUAAAGGCGAUGGUAGAGAUCCCGUGGGAAGGUACCUUCGCCACACUACACCGGCUCUGGCACCAUUAAGGCGAUGGUACAUUCCGUGGGACUGUCGCGCAUGGUACCAGGCCAAGAUGCUCCCGCCAACCAUGAAAGCGGCCACCUGCUGCAAACAUUUGAAGAGUCAUUAUGUGAUUACUAUUACAUCUACAUCUGAUGAAUGAGAAUAACAAGUAGGAUGGUGAAUGAGAAGUCAACAUCCAACAUGAAUAGCUAGACAACAUGUAGAUAACAGGCUAAACUUCCUUUCCUGCUAAAUCUUUGAUAUUACCCCAGUAAUGCGAACCAACUGCUUCAAGCUUCUCAGAUGGACCCUUAUAUCCCUUAGUUCUUCUACCGAAACAAACUACUUGCCCCGGGAUAACCACCAUAUGUCCGUAAGACAACAACUUGCACCUUCCACUUGGCAUGGUUCAUAGUUGAUUGUGCCUCUUCAGCUCUCACGGGAUACAACCAGACAAUGUCAUGUAUAAUGCUCCAAUAAUCAGACAAUCAAGAUGCAUGAACUAAUAUGUAGACUCAAUCUUCUUAGUGAAGAUAUCUUAACAUGUGUUGACAUUUACAAAAAUGCCUGUCAUGAUUUCAUAGAUGACAAAGGCAGACAAUUACGAUGCCAACAUUGCCAGCACAUUAUAUUAGUGAACUCACACGUACAUGUACAUUCCGUAGUUUACCGGAUUUUAUUAUUGACAGAACAGGCAGAAGAUUUUAAAAGGUAAAUAGACAAAUAAGAAUCCAAGUAAUAUCAACAUUGGGAUGCUCUGGUUUAUAUAUCAUUGCUCUGAUUUCUUAAGCCUUUGGUUUUUUGUGCAAUAUAUUUUCCAUGUAAUAGCAAGCUGAAGGAUGAUAAGCUCAAAGAGGUUACCAGGACCAAAGAUGAUUAUCUAAAAGAAACCUUGAAGCAAAAAGCUGAUGUCGAUAAAACAGUAUAAGGCCUAAAAUAAAAACAUGUCUUCAUAGUAAAAGUCUUAGUCGUCCUAGAACAGUUCGAAAAGUCUUAGUGGCUUUAUCUAAAAAAAAAGAUGCUUAGUGGCUCUGCAUGCUAUGACAACCAUCAAUUGAAGUACAUAUCUCGCUGGACUUGAACUCUUGCGACUAAGAUAUCAAUUGAAACCCAGAUUCACCGAGAAGUAGGAAAUAUGGCUGCAAUAUAUCAAUGGCUCGAAUAAUGUGCAAUAUAUCAAUGGGCUUGAAUAAUGUGCAACAUAUCAAUAUGACAAUAUUAGCUAUCCACUACACAACCAAAUUUAACCGAAAAUCUAUAAGAUGAGUUCUAAUAAUAGCAAUCCAACAACUACUAAUCCAAACUCACUUGUGCAAACUUGCGGCCAUGCGGCAUCAGUAAAUGCGUAAGGAUGACCAUGUGCCCCAUAAUUGGAAAU
rnacentral:lncRNA from 1 species